CCUACGGGUGGCAGCAGUGGGGAAUAUUGCACAAUGGGCGAAAGCCUGAUGCAGCAACGCCGCGUGAAGGAAGAAGGGUUUCGGCUCGUAAACUUCUAUCAACAGGGACGAAAGCAAUGACGGUACCUGACUAAGAAGCCCCGGCUAACUACGUGCCAGCAGCCGCGGUAAUACGUAGGGGGCAAGCGUUAUCCGGAAUUACUGGGUGUAAAGGGUGCGUAGACGGCAGUGUAAGCCUGAAGUGAAAGCCUUGGGCUUAACCCGAGGACUGCAUUGGAAACUAUCAAGCUAGAGUACAGGAGAGGAAAGCGGAAUUCCUAGUGUAGCGGUGAAAUGCGUAGAUAUUAGGAAGAACACCAGUGGCGAAGGCGGCUUUCUGGACUGAAACUGACGCUGAGGCACGAAAGCGUGGGGAGCGAACAGGAUUAGAUACCCGUGUAGUC
rnacentral:rRNA from 1 species